UGGCUCAGGAUGAACGCUAGCGGGAGGCCUAACACAUGCAAGCCGAGCGGUAUUUGUCUUUCGGGACAGAGAGAGCGGCGUACGGGUGCGGAACACGUGUGCAACCUGCCUUUAUCUGGGGGAUAGCCUUUCGAAAGGAAGAUUAAUACCCCAUAAUAUAUUGAAUGGCAUCAUUCGAUAUUGAAAACUCCGGUGGAUAGAGAUGGGCACGCGCAAGAUUAGAUAGUUGGUGAGGUAACGGCUCACCAAGUCAGUGAUCUUUAGGGGGCCUGAGAGGGUGAUCCCCCACACUGGUACUGAGACACGGACCAGACUCCUACGGGAGGCAGCAGUGAGGAAUAUUGGACAAUGGGUGAGAGCCUGAUCCAGCCAUCCCGCGUGAAGGACUAAGGCCCUAUGGGUUGUAAACUUCUUUUAUACUGGGAUAAACCUACUUACGUGUAAGUAGCUGAAGGUACAGUAUGAAUAAGCACCGGCUAACUCCGUGCCAGCAGCCGCGGUAAU
rnacentral:rRNA from 1 species